rnacentral:rRNA from 1 species
CCUACGGGUGGCAGCAGUGAGGAAUAUUGGUCAAUGGGCUUACGCCUGAACCAGCCAAGUCGCGUGAGGGAAGACUGCCCUAUGGGUUGUAAACCUCUUUUGUCAGGGAGCAACGCCGGCUACGGGUAGCCGGACUGAGAGUACCUGAAGAAAAAGCAUCGGCUAACUCCGUGCCAGCAGCCGCGGUAAUACGGAGGAUGCGAGCGUUAUUCGGAUUUAUGGGGUUUAGAGGGUGCGUAGGCGGAAUGCCGAGUCCGCGGUAAAACCGUGGGGCUCAAGCCCAUCCAGCCGUUGAUACUGGGGAUCUAGAGUGUGCGAGCGGUAUGCGGAAUGCGUGGUGUAGCGGUGAAAUGCAUAGAUAUCACGCAGAACCCCGAUUGCGAAGGCAGCAUACCGGUGCACAACUGACGCUCAGGCACGAAAGCGUGGGUAUCGAACAGGAUUAGAUACCCUGGUAGUC